rnacentral:rRNA from 1 species
GACGAACGCUGGCGGCGUGCUUAACACAUGCAAGUCGAACGGAAAGGCCUCUUUCGGGGGGUACUCGAGUGGCGAACGGGUGAGUAACGCGUGAGUAACCUGCCCUUGACUUUGGGAUAACUUCAGGAAACUGGGGCUAAUACCGGAUAGGAGCUCCUGCUGCAUGGUGGGGGUUGGAAAGUUUCGGCGGUUGGGGAUGGACUCGCGGCUUAUCAGCUUGUUGGUGGGGUAGUGGCUUACCAAGGCUUUGACGGGUAGCCGGCCUGAGAGGGUGACCGGCCACAUUGGGACUGAGAUACGGCCCAGACGCCUACGGGAGGCAGCAGGGGGGAAUAUUGCACAAUGGGUGGAAGCCUGAUGCAGCAACGCCGUGUGCGGGAGGACGGCCUUCGGGUUGUAAACCGCUUUCGCUCAUGACGAAGCUUUGUGUGACGGUAGUGGGUAAAGAAGCACCGGCUAACUACGUG